CCUACGGGUGGCUGCAGUGAGGAAUAUUGGUCAAUGGCCGGAAGGCUGAACCAGCCAAGCCGCGUGAAGGACGAAUGUGCCAAGCAUUGUAAACUUCUUUUGUCAAGGGACAAAAUCAGGCUCGAGAGCCUGACCGAGGGUACUUGAAGAAAAAGCAUCGGCUAACUCCGUGCCAGCAGCCGCGGUAAUACGGAGGAUGCGAGCGUUAUCCGGAUGUAUUGGGUUUAAAGGGUGCGUAGGCGGGCUGUUAAGUCAGCGGGAAAAGCCCGGGGCUCAACCCCGGACAGCCGUUGAAACUGGCUGUCUUGAGAUGUCGAGAGGUAGGCGGAAUGCGCGGUGUAGCGGUGAAAUGCUUAGAUAUUGCGAAGAACUCCGAUUGCGAAGGCAGCAUACCGGCGGCGAACUGACGCUGAGGCACGAAAGCGUGGGUAUCGAACAGGAUUAGAUACCCUGGUAGUC
rnacentral:rRNA from 1 species